rnacentral:rRNA from 1 species
GGGUUGUGAGGUUAAGUGACUAAGCGUACACGGUGGAUGCCUAGGCAGUCAGAGGCGAUGAAGGGCGUGCUAAUCUGCGAAAAGCGUCGGUAAGGUGAUAUGAACCGUUAUAACCGGCGAUACCCGAAUGGGGAAACCCAGUGUGUUUCGACACACUAUCAUGUCAUGAAUACAUAGUGGCAUGAGGCGAACCGGGGGAACUGAAACAUCUAAGUACCCCGAGGAAAAGAAAUCAACCGAGAUUCCCCCAGUAGCGGCGAGCGAACGGGGAGGAGCCCAGAACCUGAAUCGGCUUGUGUGUUAGUGGAAGCGUCUGGAAAGUCGCGCAGCAAAGGGUGAUAGCCCCGUACACUAAAAUGCACAGGUCGUGAGUUCGAUGAGUAGGGCGGGACACGUGACAUCCUGUCUGAAUAUGGGGGGACCAUCCUCCAAGGCUAAAUACUCCUGACUGACCGAUAGUGAACCAGUACCGUGAGGGAAAGGCGAAAAGAACCCCGGCGAGGGGAGUGAAAUAGAACCUGAAACCGUGUACGUACAAGCAGUGGGAGCACCUUCGUGGUGUGACUGCGUACCUUUUGUAUAAUGGGUCAGCGACUUAUAUUUUGUAGCAAGGUUAACCGUAUAGGGGAGCCGUAGGGAAACCGAGUCUUAACUGGGCGAUUAGUUGCAAGGUAUAGACCCGAAACCCGGUGAUCUAGCCAUGGGCAGGUUGAAGGUUGGGUAACACUAACUGGAGGACCGAACCGACUAAUGUUGAAAAAUUAGCGGAUGACUUGUGGCUGGGGGUGAAAGGCCAA